UCCGCCGCGAUUCGCCCUUACGGCUCAGUAACACGUAGAUAAUCUGCCCUAUGGCGAGAAUAACGUCGGGAAACUGACACUAAUACUCGAUACGAGAUGGUUUCUGGAAUGAGCUAUCUCUGAAGCGUAGGAUGAGUCUGCGGCUGAUUAGGCUGUUGGCGGGGUAAUGGCCCACCAAACCUUUGAUCAGUAAGGGCCCUUAGCGGGGAAACCCUGAGAACGAGUCUGAGACACUACUCGUAGCCCUACGGGGUGCAGCAGUUAGGGAUUUUUUGCAAUGCGCGUGAGCGUGACAGAGCGAGCCAGAGUGAUUUUCCAUACUGGAAAAUCUUUUGCCAGCUGUAAAAAGGCUGGCGAAUAAGGACUGGGCAAGACCGGUGCCAGCCGCCGCGGUAAUCCCGGCAGUCCAAGUCGCAGCCACAAUUAUUGGGUCUAAAACAUCCGUAGCUUGCUUUGCAAGUUUGUUGUGAAAUUCUGUCUCUUAAGGGCAGAGAUUGCAAUGAAUACUGCUUAGCUAGAGACUAGGGGACGCGAGAAGUACAUCUGAGGUAGUGGUAAAAUACGUUAAUCUCAGGUGGACUAACGAUUAGCGAAGGCAUCUCGCGAUAAUAGUUCUGACAGUGAGGGAUGAAGGCUAGGGGCGCAAAUUGGAUUAGAUACCCAAGUAGUCCUAGCAGUAAACACUGCGCACUAAACCUUGUGACCUCCUCGAGAGGUUGCACGGCUGCAGCGAAGCGAAGAGUGCGCUACCUGGAAGUAUAGCCGCAAGCCGAAACUUAAAGAUGGCGGGGAGCACAAGGCGAAUCGUUAAACUGCAGACUAGUCCUUAGUGAGGUAUCUGAGCUGCGUAUCAUGUCAUAGCUGUCUGGUGAAUGUUAUCGCUCACAUCACCAACAUCGGUCGAAGCUAUAUUCAGCUGGUUCUAAUGAGUGGCUA
rnacentral:rRNA from 1 species